UUUUACAGCAUUUCCAUCCCAAUCCCCCAGCCCAUCCCCACCACACCCCAAUUGGACUCCUUUAGAAACCAUGUUUUUCAAAGUCUGUGAGUCAGUAACUGUUCUGCAAAGAAGUUCAUUGUGUCCUUUUAUUAGAUUCCACAUAUAAGUGAUAGCAUAUGAUGCUGAUGUCUCACUGUCUGACUAACUUCACCUAGCAUGAUAAUUUCUAGGUCCAUCCAUGUUGCUGCAAAUGUCAUUAUUUCUUUCCUUUCAAUGGCUGAGUAAUAUCCCAUUGUGUAUAUGUACCACAUCUUCUUUAGCCACUCCUCUGUUAAUGUACAUUUAGGCUGCUUCCAUGUCUUGGCAAUUGUAUAUAGUCCGGCAAUGAACAUUGGAGGACAUGUAUCUUUUUGAGUCAUGGUUUCCGCUGGAUAGAUGCCCAGGAGUGGGAUUCCUGGAUCAAAUAGUAAUUCUAUUUUUAGUUUUCUGAGGAAUCUCCACAGUUUUCCACAAUGGGUGCACCAAUUUACAUUACCACCAGUAGUGUAAUAGGGUUCGCUUUUCUCCACACCCUCUCCAGCAUUUACUGUUUGGAGACUUUUUGAUGAUGGCCAUUCUGGUCAAUGUAAGGUGGUACCUCACAGUGGUUUUCAUUUGCAUUUCUAUAAUAAUUACUGAUGUACAUCUUUUCAUGUCUUUUUUGGCCAUCUAUAUGUCUUCUUUAGAGAAUUGUCUGUUUAGAUCUUCUGUCCAUUUUUUGAGGGGGUUGAUUUUUUUUUGUGGUACUGAGCUGUAGGAGGUGUUUAUAAAUUUUGGAGAUUUACCCCUUGUCAGUCGCUUCUUUUACAAAUAUUUUCUCCCAUUCUGUGGGUUGUCUUUUCAUUUUGUUUAGGGUUUCCUUUGCUGUGCAGGAACUUUUAAGUUUAGUUAGGUCCCAUUUGUUUAUUUUUGUUCUUAUUGUCAUUACUCUAGGAGGUGGAUCUGAGAAGAUAUUGCUAUGGUUUAUGUCGGAGAGUGAUUGGCCUAUGUUUUCCUCUAAGAGCUUUAUAGUAUCUGGUCUUAUAUUUAGGUCUUUAAUCCUUUUUGUGUUUCUGUUUGUGUAUGGUGUUAGGAAGUGUUCUAAUUUCCUUCUUUUUGCGUGGCUGUCCAGUUUUCCCAGCACCACUUAUUGAGGGGACUAUCUUUUCUCCAUUGCAUAUUCUUGCCUCCUUUGUCUUAGAUUAGUUGACUGUAGGUGCAUGGGUUAAUUCUGGGCUCUCUAUCCUGUUCCACUGAUCUACAGUUCUGUUUUUGUGCAGGUACUAUAUGGUUUUGAUGACUGCAGCUUUGUAGUUUAGUCCGAAGCCAAGGAGCCUGAUUGCUUCAGCUCCACUUUUCUUUCUCAGGAUGGCUGUGGCUAUUUUGGGUCUUUUGUGGUUCCCAACAAACUUUAAGACAUUUUGUUCGAGUUCUGUGAAAAAUGCCCUUGGUACUUUGAUAGAGAUUGCACUGAAUCUGUAGAUUGCCUUGGGGAGUAUAGUCAUUUUGAUAAUAUUGACUCUUCCAACCCAAGAGCCAUGGUAUGUCUUUCCAUCUGUUUGUGUCAUGUUGGCUUGCUUUCAUCAGCAUCUUAUAGUUUUCAGAGUACAGGUCUUUUGUUUCUUAAGUAGGUUUAUUCCUAGGGAUUUUAUUCUUUUUGAUGUGAUGGUAAAUGGGAUCGUUUCCCUAAUUUCUCUUUCUGGUCUUUUGUUGUUAGCAUAUAGAAAUGCAGUUGAUUUCUGUGUAUUAAUUUUGUGUCCUGCGACUUUGCCAAAUGGAUGGAUGAGCUCUCAUAGUUUUCUGGUAGGGUCUUUAGGAUUUUCUAGGUAUAGUGUCAUGUCAUCUGCAAAUAGUGAGAAGUUUUUAUUCAGAAAUCGGUGUUGGAUUUUGUCAAAGGCUUUUUCUGCAUCUAUUGAGAGGGUCAAUUGUUUUUUAUUCCUUAGUUUGUUAAUGUGGUGUAUCACACUGAUGGAUUUUUGGCUAUCGAAGAAUCCUUCCAUCCAUGGGAUGAAUCCCACCUGAUCGUGAUGUACAAUCCUUUUAAUGUAUUGUUGGAUUCGGUUUGUGGGUAUUUUAUUGAGGAUUUUUGCAUCUAUGUUCAUCAGUGAAAUUGGCCUGUAAUUUUCUUUUUUUUAAUGGUAUCUUUCUGGUUUUGGUAUUAGGGUGAUGGUGGCCUCAUAGAAUGACUUUGGGAGUAUCCCUUCCUCUGCAAUUUUUUGAAAUAAUUUCAGAAGGAUAGGUGUUAGCUCUUCUUUAAAUGUUUCAUAGAAUUCACCUGUGAAGCCCUCUGGUCCUGGACUUUCGUUUGUUAGAAGUUUUUUAAUCACAGUUUCAAUUUCAGCUCUUGUGAUUGGUCCAUUCAUCUUUUCUAUUUCAUCUUGGUUCAGUCUAGGAAGAUUGUACUUUUCUAAGAAUUUGUCCAUUUCUUCUAGGUUGUACAUUUUAUUGGCAUAUAGUUGCAUGUAGCAGUCUCUCGAUCCUUUGUAUUUCUGUGAUGUCUCUUGUAACUUCUAUUUUUUUAUUUAUAAUUUUAUUGAUUUGAGUCUUCUCUCUUUUUUUCUUGAUAAGUCUGGCUAAGGGUUUAUCAAUUUCGUUGAUCUUUUCAAAUAACCAUCUUUUACUUUCAUUGAUCUUUUCUGUGGUUUUCUUCAUUUCUAUUUCAUUUAUUUCUGCUCUGAUCUUUAUGAUUUCUUUCCUUCUGCUAACUUUAGGUCUUGUCUGUUCUUCUCUCUCUGGUUGCUUUAGAUGUCAAGUUAGGUUGUUUAUUUGAGCUUUUUCUUGUUUCCUGUGGUAGGCUUGUAUUGCUAUAAACUUCCCUCUUAGAAUGGCUUUUGCUGUAUCCCAUCAGUUUUGGAAUGUUGUAUCUUUGUUGUCAUUUACUUCUAGGUUUUUUUAAAUUUCUUCUUGAUUUCUUCAUUGAUCCAUUGGUUGUUUAGUAGCAUGUUGUUUAGUCUCCACGUGUUUGUGUUUUUUGCAGUUUUUUUCCUUGUUGUUGAUUUCCAGUCAUAUAGCAUUGUGGUUGGAAAAGAUGCUUGAUAUGAUUUCAAUUUUCUUAAAGUUACCUAGGCUUGAUUUAUGUCUCAGAAUGUGAUCAAUCCUAUAGAAUGUUCCAUGUGCACUUAAAAAGAAUGUGUAUUCUGCUGCUUUUUGGAUGGAAUGUCCUAUAAAUAUCUAUUAAGUCCAUCUGGUCUAAUGCUUCAUUCAGGGCCUGUGUUUCCUCAUUGAUUUUCUGUCUGGAUGAUCUGUCCAUUGCUAUAAGUGGGGUGUUAAAAUCCCCCACUAUUAUUGUGUUGUUGUCAAUUUCUCCUUUUAAGGUUGUUAGCAGUUGCCUUAUAUAUUGAGGUGAUCCUAUGUUAGUGUGUAUAUAUUUACAAUUGUUCUAUCUUCUUCUUGGAUUGAUCAUUUCAUCAUUAUGUAAUGUCCUUCCUUGUCUCUUAUAGUAUUCUUUAUUUUAGGCCUAUUUUGUCUGAUAUGAGUAUUGCUACUCCAGCUUUCUUUUGAUUCCUGUUUGCAUGGAAUAUUUUCUUCCAUCCUCU
rnacentral:lncRNA from 1 species